GUAGGAAACACGGCGCCUGAGCGGCACAAACGCUCAAAAGUUUGGUUACACUUUAUGAGAAAGGAUGACAACAGGGCAACGUGCAAUACUUGCAAAGUAGAGAUUUCAUCAAAGGGAGGAAACACUACGAAUAUGCAAAAGCAUUUGCUCAAAAAACACGCGAUUGCUUUCAACGAAUGUCGUGUUUUUGAUCCGCUCCGGACUAGCGAAGCUCAACCCAGCAGCAGCGGUAGCGUUUCCACGUCCUCUCCCGUUAAUACUGCAGAUAACCAUGAUGAGAGAGACAGAGUCUGGCUGGCUCAGAUGCUGGCAGUUCUCGCUGCAGUCUACCGGUAGCGUCUCCUUUCAGGCCAGGAUAGACGAAUGUCAACCAGCAGUGUCUAAGUUUGUGGUCAAAGGCUUGCACCCAUUUGCCACAGCAGAUGCCCCCGAUUUCACUUUGGUAAGUGAAUGUGUUUAAUUGUAGGCAGGACAUUACUGGAUAUUCUUGUGUAAUUGCUACAGAAUAAUUUAUGUUAAACUUUGUUAUUGCUACAGGAGAAUAUUUAUUUUAUUAUUUUACAUAUACAUUUUUUUCCUGGGGACCCUGUGACACCCCAUUGAAGAGCCAUAGGCUGGAUCUCUUAAGAUCUCACUGUUGGGUUUGUAAGGCCAUGUUACUCCUAACUUUCUAUCUUGUUCAAAGAGAAGAUAUAAAACACAGUUCUAAGCUAAUCGACUUUAGUGUUCUCCUUUUUAAAAAAAAAAGAAUCGAUAAGAGAAUCGAUAAGGAAUCGAAUCGUUAAACAGAAUCGAAAAUGGAAUCGGAAUCGUUAAAAUCUUAUCAAUACCCAUCCCUACCCAUGAGCAUGUCUCCCUUCUUCAAGCCAUGUGUGAAGCUUGUGGUGAUAUAACUGCUGAGCAAUGUCAAGCCUGGAUUCGUCAUGCCAGGAGAUUUUUCCCACGGUGCCUGAACAACGAAGACAUGCAUUGUGAUGUUGAUGAUGGCCCAAUGUUAAUAACCGGCUUGAUUAAUUGUGUAAAAGUGAUAAAAAUAAAAUAAAAAAUAUAUUGUGCUUAUGUAAAUGACUUGUUGUUUUUUCUCCCU
ensembl:lncRNA